rnacentral:rRNA from 1 species
GACGAACGCUGGCGGCGCGCCUAACACAUGCAAGUCGAACGAGAGAUGAGGAGCUUGCUCUUCAAAUCGAGUGGCGAACGGGUGAGUAACGCGUGAGGAACCUGCCUCAAAGAGGGGGACAACAGUUGGAAACGACUGCUAAUACCGCAUAAGCCCACGGCUCGGCAUCGAGCAGAGGGAAAAGGAGUGAUCCGCUUUGAGAUGGCCUCGCGUCCGAUUAGCUAGUUGGUGAGGUAACGGCCCACCAAGACAUCGAUGGAUAGGGGUUCUGAGAGGAAGGUCCCCCACAUUGGAACUGAGACACGGUCCAAACUCCUACGGGAGGCAGCAGUGAGGAAUAUUGGUCAAUGGACGAGAGUCUGAACCAGCCAAGUAGCGUGAAGGAUGACUGCCCUAUGGGUUGUAAACUUCUUUUAUAUGGGAAUAAAGUGAGCCACGUGUGGCUUUUUGUAUGUACCAUACGAAUAAGGAUCGGCUAACUCCGUGCCAGCAGCCGCGGUAAUACGGAGGAUCCGAGCGUUAUCCGGAUUUAUUGGGUUUAAAGGGAGCGUAGGCGGACUAUUAAGUCAGCUGUGAAAGUUUGCGGCUCAACCGUAAAAUUGCAGUUGAUACUGGUCGUCUUGAGUGCAGUAGAGGUAGGCGGAAUUCGUGGUGUAGCGGUGAAAUGCUUAGAUAUCACGAAGAACUCCGAUUGCGAAGGCAGCUUACUGGACUGUAACUGACGCUGAUGCUCGAAAGUGUGGGUAUCAAACAGGAUUAGAUACCCUGGUAGUCCACACAGUAAACGAGGAAUAAUUGCUGUUUGCGAUAUACGGCAAGCGGCCAAGCGAAAGCAUUAAGUAUUCCUCCUGGGGAGUACGCCGGCAACGGGGAAACUCAAAGGAAAUAGACGGGGGCCCGCACAAGCGGAGGAACAUGUGGUUUAAUUUGAUGAUACGCGAGGAACCUUACCCGGGCUUAAAUUGCAUCUGAAUAAUUUGGAAACAGAUUAGCCGUAAGGCAGAUGUGAAGGUGCUGCAUGGUUGUCGUCAGCUCGUGCCGUGAGGUGUCGGCUUAAGUGCCAUAACGAGCGCAACCCUUAUCUUUAGUUACUAACAGGUCAUGCUGAGGACUCUAGAGAGACUGCCGUCGUAAGAUGUGAGGAAGGUGGGGAUGACGUCAAAUCAGCACGGCCCUUACGUCCGGGGCUACACACGUGUUACAAUGGGGGGUACAGAAGGCAGCUACACAGCGAUGUGAUGCUAAUCCCAAAAGCCUCUCUCAGUUCGGAUUAGAGUCUGCAACCCGACUCCAUGAAGCUGGAUUCGCUAGUAAUCGCGCAUCAGCCACGGCGCGGUGAAUAAGUUCCCGGGCCUUGCACA